rnacentral:lncRNA from 1 species
GCUUUUGAAUGUUCCUUUUUGCUUCUCUUCAUUGCAUUUUCAUUCCUGUAUCUCUCUGGUUUCCAUACUUCACAUAACACCUGGUGGUUUCUCUCUAUGAUUAUGUGUAGCAAGGAAGAAUUGCUAAAGCAGAAGCCACAUUUGAGAGGCUUCUGAUGGGUGCUUCAGAAGCAAAAUUUGCUAUUUGCUAUGUCAGAAUUAUCUAAGUAGAUAGAGGAGAUGACACUGAUACUGUGAAGCUCUUAGGAUUAUCUAAAUGUAAUAUAUAUUUUGAUGUGUUUUGUACUUUUUGAAACGAGACUUUAUUUGGUAUUACAUGUAAUGGAUAAAUUACACUCUAUUUUGAUUUGUGUUGUUUGGACUAAAAACAUAUCUAGCUUAUAAUGUAACUUUUAUGAUUUAGAUUUCUUGAA